GCCAAAUUGGUACCAAUCGAGUCUAAAUUUUGCAAAGAUUGAUGUCCGGUGCUACUACUGACCGAACCGUUCAUAUUUCCAUUGUUCGCACUCUGGCAAUUCAACAUCAUGUCACUGCAACAAAUAUUCACAAUUUCGCCUCAUAUGGUCCAGCAGCUUUGUUCGGAGAAUUUUUAAAGAAAUGUGCGUGUUGAACAGAGUGGCAUGAACUUUGGGAAGGAAGGAAAUAAGGGACUACGUCUGUGUGGAAGAAUGGUCAACUUUAUGCAUUGUUCUUUUGGCUUGUGAAUAUAUAACUAUAUAUUCUUCCCCUCCUCAUCAUCAAAAAAGACUCACCUUUCGAGAUUUGCCAUGUCCUUUUUUUGGACCAUACUUUUGCAGAGGCAAAUAAUUUGUUCCUCAGAGAAACUUGAACCGUUGCUAUUUCCACCGAGGGCAA